AUUGAACGCUGGCGGCAGGCCUAACACAUGCAAGUCGAACGGCAGCGGGGGAUAGCUUGCUAUCCUGCCGGCGAGUGGCGGACGGGUGUGUAAUGCAUGGGGAGCUGCCCAGUCGAGGGGGAUAACAACUGGAAACGGUUGCUAAUACCGCAUACGCCCUAAGGGGGAAAGGUGGGGAACUUCGGUCCUACCGCGAUUGGAUGCGCCCAUGUGGGAUUAGCUAGUUGGUGAGGUAACGGCUCACCAAGGCGACGAUCUCUAGGUGGGCUGAGAGGAUGACCAGACACACUGGAACUGAGACACGGUCCAAGCUCCUACGGGAGGCAGCAGUGGGGAAUAUUGCACAAUGGGGGAAACCCUGAUGCAGCCAUGCCGCGUGUGUGAAGAGGGCCUUCGGGUUGUAAAGCACUUUCAGUCAGGAGGAAGGUGGUAAGGCUAAUAUCCUUAUCAAUUGACGUUACUGACAGAAGAAGCACCGGCUAACUCCGUGCCAGCCGCCGCGGUAA
rnacentral:rRNA from 1 species